GCCAUAGCUCACCUGGUAGCGCAUGAGACACUUAAUCUCAGGGUCAUGGGUUGGAGCCCCACGUUGGGCA